rnacentral:rRNA from 1 species
CUUGCUACCUUACCUAGCGGCGGACGGGUGAGUAAUGCUUAGGAAUCUGCCUAUUAGUGGGGGACAACAUUCCGAAAGGAAUGCUAAUACCGCAUACGCCCUACGGGGGAAAGCAGGGGAUCUUCGGACCUUGCGCUAAUAGAUGAGCCUAAGUCAGAUUAGCUAGUUGGUGGGGUAAAGGCCUACCAAGGCGACGAUCUGUAGCGGGUCUGAGAGGAUGAUCCGCCACACUGGGACUGAGACACGGCCCAGACUCCUACGGGAGGCAGCAGUGGGGAAUAUUGGACAAUGGGCGAAAGCCUGAUCCAGCCAUGCCGCGUGUGUGAAGAAGGCCUUUUGGUUGUAAAGCACUUUAAGCGAGGAGGAGGCUACUUGGAUUAAUACUCUAGGAUAGUGGACGUUACUCGCAGAAUAAGCACCGGCUAACUCUGUGCCAGCAGCCGCGGUAAUACAGAGGGUGCGAGCGUUAAUCGGAUUUACUGGGCGUAAAGCGUGCGUAGGCGGCUUUUUAAGUCGGAUGUGAAAUCCCUGAGCUUAACUUAGGAAUUGCAUUCGAUACUGGGAAGCUAG